rnacentral:rRNA from 1 species
AAAGCAGGGGAUCGUAAGACCUUGCGCUUUUGGAGCGGCCGAUGUCUGAUUAGCUAGUUGGUGGGGUAAUGGCCUACCAAGGCUUCGAUCAGUAGCUGGUCUGAGAGGACGGCCAGCCACACUGGGACUGAGACACGGCCCAGACUCCUACGGGAGGCAGCAGUGGGGAAUUUUGGACAAUGGGCGCAAGCCUGAUCCAGCCAUGCCGCGUGAGUGAAGAAGGCCUUCGGGUUGUAAAGCUCUUUCAGCCGGGAAGAAAAGGUUGCGACUAAUAAUCGCAAUUCAUGACGGUACCGAAAGAAGAAGCACCGGCUAACUACGUGCCAGCAGCCGCGGUAAUACGUAGGGUGCGAGCGUUAAUCGGAAUUACUGGGCGUAAAGGGUGCGCAGGCGGUUUUGUAAGUCAGAUGUGAAAUCCCCGGGCUUAACCUGGGAACUGCGUUUGAAACUACAAGGCUAG